AAAAAGAGAUGGAUGGAAGAACAUUAAGCGAAGGGGAUAUGAGAAGCAAAAGGGGAGUGCAGCAGACAGCUGGAAAUGUGGUUGGGAAAGAAGAUGCAGCUAAGAGAAAGAUUUGAGAGUCAGCCAUGGAGAGCGGGUUAAAGCACAGCACUAAGAAGCUAAAG